AAUCAACGCUGGCGGCGUGCCUCAGACAUGCAAGUCGAACGAUUAAAGCUCUCUUCGGAGAGUGCAUAGAGUGGCGCACGGGUGAGUAACACGUAAGUAAUCUACCUUUGAGUGGGGAAUAACAUCGGGAAACCGAUGCUAAUACCGCAUAAUGCAGCGGCAUCGCAAGAUGACAGUUGUUAAAGAUUUAUCGCUUGAAGAGGAGCUGCGGCAGAUUAGCUAGUUGGUAAGGUAAUGGCUUACCAAGGCUACGAUCUGUAACCGGUCUAAGAGGACGGUCGGUCACACUGACACUGAAUAACGGGUCAGACUCCUACGGGAGCAGCAGUCGGGAAUUUUGGGCAAUGGGCGAAAGCCUGACCCAGCAACGCCGCGUGAAGGAUGAAGUAUUUCGGUAUGUAAACUUCGAAAGAAUAGGAAGAAUAAAUGACGGUACUAUUUAUAAGGUCCGGCUAACUACGUGCCAGCAGCCGCUAGU
rnacentral:rRNA from 1 species